rnacentral:rRNA from 1 species
GACGGGGGGUCCAAGCGUUGUUCGGAAUCAUUGGGCGUAAAGCGUGUGCAGGUGGUUUGGUAAGUUGGAUGUGAAAGCCCCGGGCUUAACCCGGGAAGUGCAUUCAAAACUACCAAACUUGAGUAUGGAAGAGGGUCGUGGAAUUCCAGGUGUAGUGGUGAAAUACGUAGAUAUCUGGAGGAACACCGGUGGCGAAGGCGGCGACCUGGUCCUAUACUGACACUCAUACACGAAAGCGUGGGGAUCAAACAGG